UCAAGGGAUAGCUCAGUUGGUAGAGCAUGAAACUUUUAAUCUCAAAGUCAUGGGUUCGAGCCCUGAAUUGGGCAAAA